AUGAGCAAAAUCUCAACUUUAUUAGAAGAGACGCAUUUAUUAGAUAAAAAGCCAAUGCAUGCUUUUACAGUAUGAAAAUUGGUGAUUUAUAAUAACUUAGCAAAUCGCGUAGUGAAAACAGGCGAUAAAUCAUUCAAGUUUCUGACCUAUCAGCUUUCGACGGUAUGGUAUUGGCUUACCGUGGCAGUGACGGUUAACGGGGGAUCAGGGUUCGAUUCCGGAGAGGGAGCCUGAGAAACGGCUACCACAUCUAAGGAAGGCAGCAGGCGCGCAAAUUACCCAAUUCUAACAGUUUGAGAGAGGUAGUAACAAGAAAUAACAAUACAAGGCAGUUAAAAUGCUUUGUAAUUGGAAUGAUAGAAAUUUAAACCCUUUUUAAAGUAUCAAUUGGAGGGCAAGUCUGGUGCCAGCAGCCGCGGUAAUUCCAGCUCCAAUAGCGUAUAUUAAAAUUGUUGCAGUUAAAAAGCUCGUAGUUGAAGUUCUGCUAAAAGUAACCGGUCUGCUUUGAAUAAAAGUGGUAUCUUGGUAUGUAUUUAGCAAUGAUGUCCUUUGAAGUGUUUUUUACUUUAUUGUAAUAAAGCAUAUUCAGGACUUUUACUUUGAGAAAAUUAGAGUGUUUCUAGCAGGCCAACGCUUUGAAUACUGCAGCAU
rnacentral:rRNA from 1 species